rnacentral:rRNA from 1 species
CGAGCGAUCUUCUUCGGAAGGGAGCGGCGGACGGGUGAGUAACGCGUGGGUAACCUGCCCUGUACACACGGAUAACAUACCGAAAGGUAUGCUAAUACGGGAUAACAUAAGAAAGUCGCAUGGAUUUCUUAUCAAAGCUUUUGCGGUACAGGAUGGACCCGCGUCUGAUUAGCUAGUUGGUAAGGUAACGGCUUACCAAGGCGACGAUCAGUAGCCGACCUGAGAGGGUGAUCGGCCACAUUGGAACUGAGACACGGUCCAAACUCCUACGGGAGGCAGCAGUGGGGAAUAUUGCACAAUGGGCGAAAGCCUGAUGCAGCAACGCCGCGUGAGCGAUGAAGGCCUUCGGGUCGUAAAGCUCUGUCCUCAAGGAAGAUAAUGACGGUACUUGAGGAGGAAGCCCCGGCUAACUACGUGCCAGCAGCCGCGGUAAUACGUAGGGGGCUAGCGUUAUCCGGAAUUACUGGGCGUAAAGGGUGCGUAGGCGGUCUUUCAAGUCAGAAGUGAAAGGCUACGGCUCAACCGUAGUAAGCUUUUGAAACUGUAAGACUUGAGUGCAGGAGAGGAGAGUGGAAUUCCUAGUGUAGCGGUGAAAUGCGUAGAUAUUAGGAGGAACACCAGU